GGUUAAGCGACUAAGCGUACACGGUGGAUGCCCUGGCAGUCAGAGGCGAUGAAGGACGUGCUAAUCUGCGAAAAGCGUCGGUAAGGUGAUAUGAACCGUUAUAGCCGGCGAUGUCCGAAUGGGGAAACCCAGUGCAAUUCGUUGCACUAUCGUUAACUGAAUACAUAGGUUAACGAGGCGAACCGGGGGAACUGAAACAUCUAAGUACCCCGAGGAAAAGAAAUCAACCGAGAUUCCCCCAGUAGCGGCGAGCGAACGGGGAGCAGCCCAGAGUCUGAAUCAGCUUGUGUGUUAGUGGAACGGUCUGGAAAGUCCGACGGUACAGGGUGAUAGUCCCGUACACCAAAAUGCACAGGCUGUGAACUCGAAGAGUAGGGCGGGACACGUGGUAUCCUGUCUGAAUAUGGGGGGACCAUCCUCCAAGGCUAAAUACUCCUGACUGACCGAUAGUGAACCAGUACCGUGAGGGAAAGGCGAAAAGAACCCCGGCGAGGGGAGUGAAAAAGAACCUGAAACCGUGUACGUACAAGCAGUGGGAGCACCUUCGGGUGUGACUGCGUACCUUUUGUAUAAUGGGUCAGCGACUUAUAUUCUGUAGCAAGGUUAACCGUAUAGGGGAGCCGCAGGGAAACCGAGUCUUAACUGGGCGUUAAGUUGCAGGGUAUAGACCCGAAACCCGGUGAUCUAGCCAUGGGCAGGUUGAAGGUUGGGUAACACUAACUGGAGGACCGAACCGACUAAUGUUGAAAAAUUAGCGGAUGACUUGUGGCUGGGGGUGAAAGGCCAAUCAAACCGGGAGAUAGCUGGUUCUCCCCGAAAGCUAUUUAGGUAGCGCCUCGUGAACUCAUCUUCGGGGGUAGAGCACUGUUUCGGCUAGGGGGUCAUCCCGACUUACCAACCCGAUGCAAACUACGAAUACCGAAGAAUGUUAUCACGGGAGACACACGGCGGGUGCUAACGUCCGUCGUGAAGAGGGAAACAACCCAGACCGCCAGCUAAGGUCCCAAAGUCAUGGUUAAGUGGGAAACGAUGUGGGAAGGCACAGACAGCCAGGAUGUUGGCUUAGAAGCAGCCAUCAUUUAAAGAAAGCGUAAUAGCUCACUGGUCGAGUCGGCCUGCGCGGAAGAUGUAACGGGGCUAAACCAUGCACCGAAGCUGCGGCAGCGACACUAUGUGUUGUUGGGUAGGGGAGCGUUCUGUAAGCCUGCGAAGGUGUGCUGUGAGGCAUGCUGGAGGUAUCAGAAGUGCGAAUGCUGACAUAAGUAACGAUAAAGCGGGUGAAAAGCCCGCUCGCCGGAAGACCAAGGGUUCCUGUCCAACGUUAAUCGGGGCAGGGUGAGUCGACCCCUAAGGCGAGGCCGAAAGGCGUAGUCGAUGGGAAACAGGUUAAUAUUCCUGUACUUGGUGUUACUGCGAAGGGGGGACGGAGAAGGCUAUGUUAGCCGGGCGACGGUUGUCCCGGUUUAAGCAUGUAGGCUGAUUGUCCAGGCAAAUCCGGAUAAUCAAGGCUGAGGUGUGAUGACGAGGCACUACGGUGCUGAAGUAACAAAUGCCCUGCUUCCAGGAAAAGCCUCUAAGCAUCAGGUAACAUCAAAUCGUACCCCAAACCGACACAGGUGGUCAGGUAGAGAAUACCAAGGCGCUUGAGAGAACUCGGGUGAAGGAACUAGGCAAAAUGGUGCCGUAACUUCGGGAGAAGGCACGCUGGUGUGUAGGUGAAGCCCCUGCGGGUGGAGCUGAGACCAGUCGAAGAUACCAGCUGGCUGCAACUGUUUAUUAAAAACACAGCACUGUGCAAACACGAAAGUGGACGUAUACGGUGUGACGCCUGCCCGGUGCCGGAAGGUUAAUUGAUGGGGUUAUCCGUAAGGAGAAGCUCUUGAUCGAAGCCCCGGUAAACGGCGGCCGUAACUAUAACGGUCCUAAGGUAGCGAAAUUCCUUGUCGGGUAAGUUCCGACCUGCACGAAUGGCGUAAUGAUGGCCAGGCUGUCUCCACCCGAGACUCAGUGAAAUUGAACUCGCUGUGAAGAUGCAGUGUACCCGCGGCAAGACGGAAAGACCCCGUGAACCUUUACUAUAGCUUGACACUGAACAUUGAGCCUUGAUGUGUAGGAUAGGUGGGAGGCUUUGAAGCGUGGACGCCAGUCUGCGUGGAGCCAACCUUGAAAUACCACCCUUUAAUGUUUGAUGUUCUAACGUUGGCCCCUUACCGGGGUUGCGGACAGUGUCUGGUGGGUAGUUUGACUGGGGCGGUCUCCUCCCAAAGCGUAACGGAGGAGCACGAAGGUUAGCUAAUCCUGGUCGGACAUCAGGAGGUUAGUGCAAUGGCAUAAGCUAGCUUGACUGCGAGCGUGACGGCGCGAGCAGGUGCGAAAGCAGGUCAUAGUGAUCCGGUGGUUCUGAAUGGAAGGGCCAUCGCUCAACGGAUAAAAGGUACUCCGGGGAUAACAGGCUGAUACCGCCCAAGAGUUCAUAUCGACGGCGGUGUUUGGCACCUCGAUGUCGGCUCAUCACAUCCUGGGGCUGAAGUAGGUCCCAAGGGUAUGGCUGUUCGCCAUUUAAAGUGGUACGCGAGCUGGGUUUAGAACGUCGUGAGACAGUUCGGUCCCUAUCUGCCGUGGGCGCUGGAGAAUUGAGGGGGGCUGCUCCUAGUACGAGAGGACCGGAGUGGACGCAUCACUGGUGUUCGGGUUGUCAUGCCAAUGGCACUGCCCGGUAGCUAAAUGCGGAAGAGAUAAGUGCUGAAAGCAUCUAAGCACGAAACUUGCCCCGAGAUGAGUUCUCCCUGAGACUUUAAGUCUCCUGAAGGAACGUUAAAGACGAUGACGUUGAUAGGCCGGGUGUGUAAGCGCAGCGAUGCGUUGAGCUAACCGGUACUAAUGAACCGUGAGGCUUAACCUU
rnacentral:rRNA from 1 species